GAAGCUAUCAACAAGCGAGGCUGUUCGGGUCAGGAAAAUAAGAUAUCUUUCCAAAGCGUAACAAUAGUCAAUAGUGUCAUCUAUAAUCACGAUUCAGUGAUGGAAUGCUCCAUUGUCUUUCAUUGUUUUGGAAAUUCAAUGUUCCAUGCAUAUAUUUAUGCGCAGGGCUAUUUCCUUUUGAAAAAAAGUAUCAGUGCAUUUAUUAAUUCCAUCCGUUAAUAUGAAUACGAGAUAUGAUUUUGACGGGAUACGGUUUU